rnacentral:rRNA from 1 species
UACGUAGGGUGCAAGCGUUGUCCGGAAUUAUUGGGGCGUAAAGAGCUUGUAGGCGGUUUGUCGCGUCUGCUGUGAAAUUUCGGGGCUCAACCCCGAACUUGCAGUGGGUACGGGCAGACUAGAGUAUGGUAGGGGCAGAGGGAAUUCCUGGUGUAGCGGUGAAAUGCGUAGAGAUCAGGAAGAACAUCGGUGGCGAAGGCGCUCUGCUGGACCAUAACUGACACUCAGGGACGAAAGCUAGGGGAGCGAAUGGG